GGGCGGAUCAAGCGUUUUGUGAUGCGGUUGCGGAUGAAAUAAUAGCCCAUCCGCGCAUCUCUAGUGGGUAGGUAGGUGUAGAUUUAGAAUGGUGUACAACUGUGUUUGUGCUGGGUGUAAUAACUCUAGCAAAACAGGACACAGGGUCCAUGCCUUUCCGAAGGACAAGGCAACCCUCAGACAGUGGGUACAGUUUGUCCGCGUUAGACGGGCAGAUUUUUCUAUUCCCUCGGUCACAAAGAACUCCAAGGUCUGCAGCGCUCAUUUCACGGAGGAGGAUUACGACCAAGGGGACGUCAGGAUGGUAUCUCUCGGGUUAAAUAGGCUGGCACAGCUUAUUCCGAACGCCGUGCCUUCUGUGCACACGCAUCUCUCUGCCUGCCCAAGCCCCGAGACCGAGAGGCACCAAGAUCAGUGCCGCCAGCCGCAAGCGAGAGCUGGCUAUGGUAAGCCUCAUGCUAAUGUUUACAAGCUGUGCGUUAGCUAGCCCUGUGUAUACUAUAUACCGUAUUCCCUUUGACCCCGCCUCCACUACAGUCAUGCCUCAUGAUCAGUCUGACAUUAGAAAAGCACAUUUCGUGAUUCAUGAAUAUGAACCAAAACAAAAUUGUCCUGAAGUAAAUGUCCAAAAGCUUGUCAUAUAGAAAGCGCCAUGGCUAGUGUUUGGAUCACUGGCGCUCAUCAAGCGGCUUUCACAUUGCCCUUUUCCUGAUGGAAAGUGACUAUUACGGUCCUCUUUCAUAUGUAUUUAGACCUGACCGUGUCGCUAAUCUAUUUACGCAAGAUGUUGACAGAUGCCUCACCGUGUGAGACCACGGACAGUGUCAAUGCUGCUACGGUAGAGGACCCCUUGCCCUACUACACUUGUGACACUGGGACACAGUGUAUUUUGAAGCCCCUUGGAAGGUCUCACGGUAAAUCUUUAUUUCAUACUCUGGGGAUCUCAUAACAUUCUGUUUACUGUAAAUAUGUUUGCUAUAAUUCUUAUGCAGGACAAUUUCACGUGUGUUUCCACUGGAGAAAAAAAUCGGUCUAUUUGUAUGUCUGCUGUGUGUGUGCCUACCUAUCUUGGUCUCUUGCAGGCUCAAUGGCAGCAGUAAAACUGGAGGGUAUCAUCACAAGGACAUCCUUACUGAAGGAUGUUCGACAGCUGUCUCCGCAGCACCAGACUUACUCCUCUGAAGCCUUCCACUCCCUGAUCCUGCACUUCGCGCCCAAGCACACUGGGUUUUCAUACCAUGGCAUGUAUAGCAGGCUUCUCUUAACGGCGCUGCAUUACAACUGUAAUGCGAACAGAGAGACCGCACGAAUAAGCGAUGGUUUGGAGAGGUAUAGCGUGCGAUAUCCACGUUUCAGAAAAGGUGCCUGGGUAGUUGUUCCCAUCAAAGAGAAGGCCUCAUACGGUAGGCAGUGUCAUGCAGUUCUAUCAUAUUUUGACAUUUGCGCACAAGACAUCUGUGACAUCGAUCUUUAUACAGUAUUUUAUCAUUAUUAUGUCUGCAGGUUAUGCAACGUCAUUAAUCGAGGCCCUUCGGGAGAGCUACAUGGAUUCACCCAAGGCUCUUCAAGAGGUUCGCCAAAUCCUUCCAACAAAUUCCCAAGGAGGAGGCCGUCAGCCAUCUAGCCCAGCAGUCACACUACAAAAAAUUGAAUUAGAAUAUUUUUUUUCCCAGACAGGUCCAAUCAUUUAGUUGUGAGUAUGUAUGUAUGUGUAAGUAUAUGUUAUUUUAUUUGGUGGUGGUUUUCUGUAUGCCGCAUGUUUUGUUUUCUCUUUGUGUGCUGUUUAUUGCUUGGGUUUUUUGAUUGUUCCAGGAAGUUUAUUAUAACCCUACAUUUUAACCCCUUGCGCUGACCCUAACAUCUCUGUCGACUAACAUUAUCUCUUGGUUAUUUAUGGCUGUAACCCAUUCAUUCCUUUAUCAGCAUCACCAUGGUUACCGCCUCACUGCAUGUCACAUGUUUUGUUUUUAUUGCUUGGGUUUUUUACUUAGUUGUGUGCACAAAUCAUUCCUUUACAGCUCCAUAAUUCAUAAAAAAAAAAUUAAGAAUCCGAAAGGGACCUCUGGGUGCGCUUUUCUCUUGGAUCACUAUGCGUCUGCUCUAUGUGAUAUCAUUGAAUGUAUGUGUCCGUGAGUGAGUGAGAACCAUCAGCUGACCCUCAGGUAAGAUCACACUAUUGCAAGAUUAUUUUAUGUUGGUUUCUUUGUGCCUAACCCUUUUUUUCUUGAGAUUUGUUUACUUUAUCAGGCCUUUCAACCUGUCCCUUUUUUCAGUAAUCGAUCCCCAUUACUAGGGAUGACCUAAUAAACUGUUUUUAUAUGAA